CUCCCUUUGUUUACUUGAUCAGUGUAUUAUUUUCUACACGGUUAUCACCACUAAAACAUACUGCUGUACAUACUGCUCCGAUUGAUAAGUGUAAUAAAAUAGUUCAAUAUGGAUGAGAAAUCCCAUAAAUGUGAUAUAUGUGGAUUAGGGUUCAAACAGAGUGGAAAUUUACAUGCACACAAAAGAACACAUACUGGUGAAAAACCGCAUAAAUGUGAUAUAUGUGAUAAAGGUUUUAGUCAGCGGAGUAAUCUACAGAGACACGCGAGAACACACAGUGACGACAAACCUUAUACGUGUGAUGAAUGUGGUAAACAAUUCAUCCAAAGUAUCCAUUUAAAAGUACACAUCAGAUUACAUUCUGGUGAAAAACCUUAUCAAUGUGAAGUAUGCAGUAAACAAUUUUGUCGCAAUGGCGACUUGAAGAUACACAUGAGAACACACGGCACAGAAAAACCACGUGCGAUCAUGUGUGAAAUUUGCGGAAAAGAGUGCAGUAGAAAAGAUGUUCUACAGAAACAUAUGAGAACACAUACCGGUGAAAAACCAUUUAUGUGUGUAGUAUGCGGUAAAGAGUUUAAUCAGCUUGGGAACUUGAAAGCCCACAUGAGUCAACAUACUGGUGAGAAACCAUACGUGUGUGCAAUAUGCGGUAAAAGCUUUUAUCUGAAUUGCAUCUUGAAUAAACACAUGAAAAAACAUAGCGAUGAAAAACCUUAUGAGUGUGACGUGUGUGGUGAAGGCUUUAAGGAAAACUGGAACCUGCAGAAACAUGUUAAAAUACAUAUUGAUGAACCGAUAGAAAAACACAUCGGUGAAAUGCAUAUGAUUGAUCCACUGCAGGGUUCAACAUUGUAGAGCUUUGGACAUUUUCUUUGAAGAAUUCACAAAUUUUUGAACAGGAGAAUUUCUCGUUAUUACACAAAAUAAAGAACGAUAAACAUUUUAUAAUGUUAUAUGUAUAGAUCUAUCAAGUAAAUGUGGUAUACAUCAUUAGCGCCUUGGAAAGAUUUUAUCAUUUUCAUCAUUUUCUUUCCUAAAAUAUUUUCAACAAGUUUCUUGCUCAAACCAAAACCAAUUUGUUUGACAUCGAAAUACAAGUACAGUGGACGCUACUUCCACGAUAAAAUUGUGUUGGUUUGAUCAAGAUGAUGUUUAAUAAAGACAGAUAAGCUGAAUGAAUAAAACUUAAUUGGAAAUCUGCAAAACAGAAAAAAAAUAACCACCUCUGUGGUCUCCUGGUAUUACUCGUCUGGAGUGUGGAAUGUUUUGGGUUCCCGUGUUGAAGGCCGUACUUUGACCUAUAACUGUUUACUCUUUACACAUUGUGACUUGGAUGGAUAGUUGUCUCAUUGGCACUAAUACCACAUCUUAUUUAUAUGGUCUGUUCGGAGUCAGAGUAAUGUGUCUUAGUAAUGUGAUAUGACUUCCUGUGGACUAUAAACAAAUUGUUUAACAUUGUGAUUCCUCUGAUUUAUCUAAUGAGCCAAUAUGGAAUCAACACUAGUAAACUUAUGUUUGGAAUGAUGUAACAUGUCUGCGCCAAGGGAAAGUUUGUUUAAAUCAAAUUAAAUAGCCUUAUGGAAUCCACAUCGGUAUACGUAUGUUUUGGAUCGAUCCAACAUGUCUUCGUCCACUCGUGGUUAAAAUGUUGAAUCAAAUCAAACUUACAUAUACCGGUGUAGAUUUUAAACAGGUAUCUGUAACUUGAAUAAACACAUGAAAAAAUUUGGCCUUUUUAACUUUUUUUGAUUCGAGCGUCACUGAUGAGUCUUUUGUAGACGAAACGCGCGUCUGGCGCAAAUACAAAAUUUCAAUCCUGGUAUCUAUGAUGAGUUUAUUUGCAUGGUGUGAACAUUCUUCCUGGGUGCAGAAAUUUUGGAUCUGUCUAUACAUACGUAUACCAAUCUGGAUUCCAUACGGUGUGAACAAGCACGUUUAAAACCAAAUCCUUGUGUAGAUCUUGUACUUAGCCGGGCAUAUUCAUAUUAUUUACAUACUUUUGUCCCAAAUAUACAACAUGUUAUAUAUUUGACGGUUGGUGUUAACCAGCAUACAUGAAUCAAUCAAUCAAUCAUUAGAACAAUAAAAGGGGUCUGUACACCAGUGGAAGAAAUCGUACUGAAGUUUCAUCACACCCUUGUUAAACCAAUACGGUAACAAUAGUAUAUUACACAUUGUAGAUGAAAAAGGUUUUUCCGACAACAGCGUAGUUCUCAACAUGUUCCUAAAAGGAUUUGUUUGGACCGACUUCCUCUGAAUAUAUUAAUUAAACUUAUAGGGUAAAAUAAAAAAGUUCAUGAAACUCCGUGAAAUUUAAAUAUUAAAAAUGUCAAUAAGCAUUUGAUAUCUCAACAUUAUAACAUUGCAUUUUAAAAGUCUGAAUAAUAUGCUGAAAGGAAUUUUGGUGUAUAAAAAAAGAAGAUUUUAACCGCUAAUUGUGUUGUUACAGACAAUUUUGGUAAAUUUUGGAGCUGUUACAUGUUGAUUUUUUUUAAAAAUUAUUGAUUAAUAGUCAACGGAUUGGAGUUGUCAAUGUUUCAUAGUUAGUCCUUUUUGGCCUCAAAUUGUCAACAUAAUAAAAAUAUUAAUGUUUCA